GGAAUACUAAAAAUUUGGUUUUACCUUAAUAUACAAAGGCUAGGAUGAAAUUAAUCUAAAUAAGAGAACUUCCAAAUCCACUUGUAACUUUUGGCUGACACUCACAUUUUGAACCACCACAUCUCAAAGAGCUCCUCGUGUUCCUCUACCAUGUGGUUACACUCAAAGCUGCUGGUCUCACACAAACCCUCCACGAUCUCCAUCAGACGAAUUUCACUUAGAGCGUUGACGGAUAAAUACGAUAGA